rnacentral:rRNA from 1 species
UACGUAGGGUGCGAGCGUUAAUCGGAAUUACUGGGCGUAAAGCGUGCGCAGGCGGUUCUCCAAGUCCGUUGUGAAAGCCCCGGGCUCAACCUGGGAAUGGCAGUGGAAACUAGGGGACUGGAAUCUGGCAGAGGGGGGUGGAAUGCCGCGUGUAGCAGUGAAAUGCGUAGAUAUCAGGAGGAACACCGAUGGCGAAGGCAGGUCUCUGGACUGACACUGACGCUCAUGCACGAAAGCG